ACUGCCUGCCCAGUGACAUCAGUUAAACGGCCGCGGUAUCCUGACCGUGCAAAGGAAGCAUAAUCAUUCGUUCCCUAAAUAGGGACUUGUAUGAAUGGCCACACGAGGGCUUUACUGUCUCUUACUUCCGAUCCGUGAAAUUGACCUUCCCGUGAAGAGGCGGGAAUAUGACAAUAAGACGAGAAGACCCUAUGGAGCUUUAAUUAACCGACCCAAAGAGAUCUUAACAACUAACCGAUAGGGACAACAAACCUCUACCAUGGGUCGACAAUUUAGGUUGGGGUGACCUCGGAGAAUAAAACAACCUCCGAGUGAUUUAAAUCUAGACUAACCAGUCGAAAGUACUACAUCACUUAUUGAUCCAAAAACUUGAUCAACGGAACAAGUUACCCUAGGGAUAACAGCGCAAUCCUAUUUUAGAGUCCAUAUCGACAAUAGGGUUUACGACCUCGAUGUUGGAUCAGGACAUCCCGAUGGUGCAGCAGCUAUCAAAGGUUCGUUUGUUCAACGAUUAAAGUCCUACGUGAUCUGA
rnacentral:rRNA from 1 species